UACAGAGGGUGCGAGCGUUAAUCGGAGUUACUGGGCGUAAAGGGCGCGUAGGCGGAUGAUUAAGUUAGAUGUGAAAGCCCUGGGCUUAACCUAGGCAGUGCAUCUAAGACUGGUGAUCUGGAGUUUUGGAGAGGGCAGUGGAAUUUCCGGUGUAGCGGUGAAAUGCGUAGAGAUCGGAAGGAACAUCGGUGGCGAAGGCGACUGUCUGGCCAAUAACUGACGCUGAGGCGCGAAAGCGUGGGUAGCAAACAGG
rnacentral:rRNA from 1 species